GAUAGAAAUUAUUGUGGGAAGC
rnacentral:piRNA from 1 species